rnacentral:lncRNA from 1 species
CGGUGCAAAGUCACAGCCAUGCGGCAGUUCUUAUCUGCAAAUUUUUGUGUAUCCACAGCCAAAGGUAGAUUCCAUCUAUGAGAUUCACAGCUAAAGGCCAAUUCCAACUGUGGGGUUUAUGCUGUAGAAUCUACAACCAAAAAGUAGGUUUAAUCUGUAGGACUUUUGCUGUGAACCCACAAGUAAAGGUGGAUUCUAAUCGCUGGGACUUGUGUGUCCACAGCCAAAUGGGAGUUGUUAUCUGUGAACCAGUAGUGGUUUAAGCAUAAACUGGUAUACUGGAGGUG